rnacentral:rRNA from 1 species
GUUAACAAAAAGGAUAGUAAAAUUAAACUACACGAAAUAAUUUGAGCUAACUACUUGAGGAUAUAAGCCCAAUUUAAUAGUGUAUUGCAAAACACUAUCUUGACGGGUAGUUAGGGGUGAUAGGCCAAGCAAGAAUUAUGAUAUCUUGAUUUUAGGAAAAUUCAUUUAGUGAAUAAACAAACUUAAAGUGACAAGGCUUUAAGUGUAAAAUUAACUCUUGAAAGUAAUAUUUAUAGCUCUAACCAGCAAUAUGUAGCAUUAACUACAACUAAAAUGUUCAAGUUAUUUCUAAUACCUAAAUAUAAAAUUGCUAAUUGAUUUAUAAUGUUAACAUGAGUAUGUUAGAUAGAUCAGUAGAAUGAAUUCGGCAAAUCUACCUUUCGACUGUUUACCAAAAACAUAACUGCAUGAAUACCCAUACAGCAUUUUCUGCUCAAUGAAUGUUAAAUAGCCGCAGUACUCUGACUGUGCAAAGGUAGCAUAAUCAGUUGGCUUAUAAUUGAAGUCUAGAAUCAACGAAUGCACGGGGGGUUACUGUGUCCUAGUAAAGCACUAAAAUUACUUAGUAAGUGAAAAUACUUACUUGAAAAUAAAAGACGAGAAGACCCUAGAAAUUUAAAUUGAAUUUUGUUGGGGCGACAUGGUAGCAUUAAACCUACAGUAAGUACAGGAACUUUAUUAAGUGAAAGAUUAAUUACUCUAGGGAUAACAGCAUAAUUUAGAAAAGUUUGUGACCUCGAUGUUGGAUUAGGAAAUUUAAGUUUAGACGAUAUAGAAUAUUGCUCUGUUCGAGC